rnacentral:rRNA from 1 species
CGAAGAACCUUACCUGGGCUUGACAUGCUAGCAGUAGGAGCCAGAGAUGGUAACGACCCCUACCUUUGGUAGGGGAACUAGUACAGGUGAUGCAUGGCUGUCGUCAGCUCGUGUCGUGGGACGUUGGGUUAAGUCCCGAAACGAGCGCAACCCCUGUUGUUAGUUGCCAGCGGGUAAUGCCGGGGACUCUAACAAGACUGCUGGUGAACAGCCGGAGGAAGGAGGGGAUGACGUCAAGUCAUCAUGUCCCUUAUGUCCAGGGCGACACACAUGCUACAAUGGGAGGUACAAUGGGCUGCUAAACCGCAAGGUCAUGCGAAUCCCAAAAAGCCUUCCUCAGUUCNNAUGAGGUCUGCAACCCGACCUCAUGAAGCCGGAAUCGCUAGUAAUCGCAGGUCAGCCACACUGCGGUGAAUAUGUACUCAGGGCUUGUUCUCACCGCCCGUCA